AUUGAACGCUGGCGGAAUGCUUUACACAUGCCAGUCGAACGGCAGCACGGGGGCAGCCCUGGUGGCGAGUGGCGAACGGGUGAGUAAUACAUCGGAACGUGCCCGGUCGUGGGGGAUAACGUAGCGAAAGUUACGCUAAUACCGCAUACGAUCUGAGGAUGAAAGCGGGGGACCUUCGGGCCUCGCGCGAUCGGAGCGGCCGAUGUCAGAUUAGGUAGUUGGUGGGGUAAAGGCCUACCAAGCCGACGAUCUGUAGCUGGUCUGAGAGGACGACCAGCCACACUGGGACUGAGACACGGCCCAGACUCCUACGGGAGGCAGCAGUGGGGAAUUUUGGACAAUGGGCGCAAGCCUGAUCCAGCCAUUCCGCGUGCAGGACGAAGGCCUUCGGGUCGUAAACUGCUUUUGUACGGAACGAAAAGGCUCUGGCUAAUACCUGGGGCUCAUGACGGUACCGUAAGAAUAAGCACCGGCUAACUACGUG
rnacentral:rRNA from 1 species